GAAUACUCUCUUUUCUUCGCCAAUUGCGCGCCGGAGACGCGCGUGUCCAUGAACGUUCGAACGGAGGUUUACAAUCUCGAGUUCGAUGGCUCUAAGGAUUUCCUCUCUGCUGGCUUAACGCAGCUACCGUCGCUGUACUUUGUCUACUUCAUUGCGUAUCUCGCUUUUCUGGGCUUCUGGAUCUACAUUUGCUUCACCAAUAGAGGAUCUGUACAU
rnacentral:misc_RNA from 1 species